UGGCCAGUUAUCACACAAUAGACUUGCUGC
rnacentral:piRNA from 1 species